rnacentral:rRNA from 1 species
UACGUAGGGUGCAAGCGUUGUCCGGAAUUAUUGGGCGUAAAGAGCUCGUAGGCGGUCUGUCGCGUCUGCUGUGAAAACUCAGGGCUUAACCCUGAGCUUGCAGUGGGUACGGGCAGACUAGAGUGCGGUAGGGGAGACUGGAAUUCCUGGUGUAGCGGUGAAAUGCGCAGAUAUCAGGAGGAACACCGGUGGCGAAGGCGGGUCUCUGGGCCGUAACUGACACUGAGAGACGAAAGCUAGGGGAGCGAAUGGG